rnacentral:rRNA from 1 species
UACGGAGGGGACUAGCGUUGUUCGGAAUUACUGGGCGUAAAGCGCACGUAGGCGGAUUUGUAAGUCAGGGGUGAAAUCCCGGGGCUCAACCUCGGAACUGCCUUUGAUACUGCAAAUCUCGAGUCCGGAAGAGGUUAGUGGAAUUCCCAGUGUAGAGGUGAAAUUCGUAGAUAUUGGGAAGAACACCAGUGGCGAAGGCGGCUAACUGGUCCAGAUCUGACGCUGAGGUGCGAAAGCGUGGGGAGCAAACAGG